CGAGGAUUCCCAUAGUAACGGCGAGUGAACUGGGAAGAGCUCAGCGCUGAAUCACACGGUUUAAUUGCCGUUGUGAACUGUGGCGUAUAGGUGUAACUGCAUCGAUAACUAUCCGCACACUCAAAGUUCCCUUGAGUGGGGCAACUUCCAUAGAAGGUGCAAGGCCUGUAUGAGUGGCUGGCGGUUGUCGAUAUUGGUUACUGCCUCAGAGUCGAGUUGCCUGGGAACGCAGCUCAAAGUCGGUGGUAAACCUCAUCUAAAGCUAAAUAUGACUUCGAGACCGAUAGCGAACAAGUACCGUGAGGGAAAGUUGCAAAGAACUUCGAAGGGAGAGUUCAAGAGGACGUGAAACCGCUAGGAGGGAAGCGGAUAGAGUUAACAGCAUAAUGGUGGCAUUCAGCCGAUUGCCGUAACGAACACUAUGCGUGGUGCUCCUGGACGUACCGGGCGCUUGUAUACGUGUAUUCGUGUGUGCUAUCGGUGCUUUUGCCAUCAUUAGCGCGCUGAGGCGCUCAGGGUGGUGUGUUGCAGUGUGACGGCAGAGGACUGUGUUGCUCGUCAACGCAGAACCCUACCUCACAUCCAUACAUAUCCGCUGUGACCGUUUAUUAUUACGCUUCUGCCCGCAACAGUGCAUAGGCGCAGUUAUGAUGGCAUUGGCAGUUCGCAGUGGCUUUGCCACUAUGCCUAUUGUCCGAGUGUAAUCGUGGCUGUGUUAAAUGC
rnacentral:rRNA from 1 species